rnacentral:misc_RNA from 1 species
AACUUUUGACAAUGGAUCACUGGGCUCUCGCAUCGAUGAAGAACGCAGCGAAAUGCGAUACGUAAUGUGAAUUGCAGAAUUCAGUGAAUCAUCGAAUCUUUGAACGCAUAUUGCGCUCUUUGGUAUUCCGAAGAGCAUGCUUGUUUGAGUAUCAGUAAACACCUCAACCUCCUCUUGUUUUUUCAUAAGGAGGUUGGUCUUGAGCUAUCCCAACAACCUUCAGCUGUAGGCGGGCGGCUUGAAAUGCAGGUGCAGCUGGACUUUUAUCUGAGCUAAAAGCAUAUCUAUUUAGUCCUCGUCAAACAGGAUUAUUACUAUUGCUGCAGCUAACAUAAAGGAUAAUUGUCCUCAUUGCUGACUGAUGCAGGAUUUUACGACACUUUAUGUGUUGUUCAACUCGAUCUCAAAUCAAGUAAGACUACCCGCUGAACUUAAGCAUAUCAAUAAGCGGAGGUU